UACGGGGGGGGCAAGCGUUGUUCGGAAUUACUGGGCGUAAAGGGCUCGUAGGCGGCCAACUAAGUCAAACGUGAAAUCCCUCGGCUUAACCGGGGAACUGCGCUUGAUACUGGAUGGCUUGAGAUUGGGAGAGGGAUGCGGAAUUCCAGGUGUAGCGGUGAAAUGCGUAGAUAUCAGGAGGAACACCGGUGGUGUAGACGGCUUUCUGGACCGUAACUGACGCUGAGACACGAAAGCGUGGGUAGCAAACAGG
rnacentral:rRNA from 1 species